UUGCAACUAAAGGAAGAUAGGAAGAUGAGAGAAUUUGUUUUACUUGGAUUUUUUUUUCUCAAUUCGUGUGUUUUUUUUUUGUUGGGUGUAAAAAUAGAAAGUCUCCCAUAUCUCAACAAUUAAAUUCUAAAAAUUAAUAAGAAAAUAAGCUAAAAAUCACUUGAUUGUUUUUAUUUUAUUUUACAGUAAAUAAAAUUGUAGGAAAGAAGAGUACCAAUAUCUACUAUCUAGAAGAUUCACCAUUCACCUUCAUUGUCGGGAAUGCCGCGUACGUUAUUCUUUCUAAAAUACGGAGUAUGAUUAUUACUCUGUCCCAUUGGUCACAGUUAUAAAUUGACUGUUAGAUUUGAACUUCAAAUUAUACAAGUUGGUCAGAAAUAUAUAUACUGUAAAUGAAUAGACUUUUCUUUUCCAUGCAAACAAGGAUCGUCUCGCAUAAAGCUACUGCGACGCGAUGGUUUUGGGUAAUAGAAUCUUCAGAGAGUGAUCGAUAGUUACUCUCCAUUAUUAUUGCAAGCUUAAAUGUUAUGAAAAUUUUUAAAAAAAUAAAAAAUAAUCAAAUAAACCAAUUUAUCUUAAGAAAAUAAAUGAUAUGAAGUUCAAAUCUAGAAGUAUUCAGAUAUUUCAAGAAGCGCAAGCGAAAAGGAAACAAGGUGAAUGUUGAACAAUCAGGUCUUUAACACACACAAAAACAAUCAGGUCUUUAACACACAAAAAAUAAAGCUGACUCCGGAGAAGAAGCUUUCCUUCCCCCUCACCAAAAUAUCUGGUCGAGAUAACCUCAUGCCUGCGAUUCGAGUAAAAGAAAAGAACCAAAACCCAUACUCAGUCACCUGAACCAAA
rnacentral:lncRNA from 1 species